AUGAAAGAAGAAAGGCACACGAUGAGAACCAGUUACUUGUGCUGCUUUGGUAAAAUACUGCCUGCCCUUGGUUGGCUUCCCUGGAGGGUCAUCGCUAAUAGCAGGUGGAUGGCUAGAGAGCAGGACACAGGCUGUGCCCCACCACUGCAGCAAAGAGAACCUGAAAUCAACAGGCAGGUGAGGCAGGAGCAUAAGCUUCGGGCGAUGGCCACAGAAAGAACGAGCUUCCACAGCGCUGUGAAUGGUGGAGAACAAAGCAGGCCGUGCUGGACAGGGCUGGGCAUUCGAGUGAGGAGUGAGUAG
rnacentral:lncRNA from 1 species